rnacentral:rRNA from 1 species
UCUCGUAGGUGGAAACUGCUGAGUGAUCAUUACCGAGUUUGCGGCUCCCAAACCCCUGCGAACAUACCAAUUGUUGCCUCGGCGGAUCAGCCCGCUCCCGGUAAAACGGAACGGCCCGCCAGAGGACCCCUAAACUCUGUUUCUAUAUGUAACUUCUGAGUAAAACCAUAAAUAAAUCAAAGACUUUCAACAACGGAUCUCUUGGUUCUGGCAUCGAUGAAAAACGCAGCAAAAUGCGAUAAGUAUUGUGAAUUGCAAAAUUCAGUGAAUCAUCGAAUCUUUGAACGCACAUUGCGCCCGCCAGUAUUCAGGGCGGGCAUGCCUGUUCAAGCGUCUAUUCACCCCUCAAGCCCCCGGGUUGGGUGUGGGGGAUGGGCGAGCCUCACGCCAAACCGGCCCGAAAAUACAGUGGCGGUCCCGCUGCAGCUCCCAUUGCGUAGAAUUAAUACCUUCCCAACUGGUCCGCGGCGCGGGCAACCCGUAAAAACACCCAACUUCUGAAUGUGACCUCGGAUCAGGUAGGAAUACCCGCUGAAGCUGCCCUAUUAAUAAAGCGAGAGAAA